GGCAAUAAUAAGUAAACCUUUGAUAAAAUGAAGUAGGUAAUUAAUAGGUAAUUAACUGAUUUUGUGCAAUAACAGAUUAUUGAAAUUCUUAAACUGUAGGAAAAUGAGAUUUAGAUUAUUGAAAGAUUGCUAGAAGUUGUUGCACUAGGUGCGUUAUAAAAUCCAGCAGAAAUUACUAAAAUUAUUGAGUCUUAGUGAAAUAAUGCGUUGACUCAAGGUAUCAAUUUACAUUCUUUCUGAUUGCUGAGCACACUGAAGCUUAGUGUACUAUGGAUUAUUUUGUUUAUUUUUCUUGAGCUGACUG
rnacentral:misc_RNA from 1 species